AUUGAACGCUGGCGGCAGGCCUAACACAUGCAAGUCGAACGAGUGGCGGACGGGUGAGUAAUGUCUGGGAAACUGCCCGAUGGAGGGGGAUAACUACUGGAAACGGUAGCUAAUACCGCAUACCAUCGGAUGUGCCCAGCGGGGAUUAGCUACUCGGUGGGGUAAUGGCUCACCUAGGCGACGAUCCCUAGCUGGUCUGAGAGGAUGACAAGCCACACUGGAACGUGGAUACGGUCCAAAGUCCUACGGGAGGCAGCAGUGGGGAAGAUUGCACUAUGGGCGAAAGCCUGAUGCAGCCAUGCCGCGUGUAUGAAGAAGGCCUUCGGGUUGUAAAGUACUUUCAGCGGGGAGGCGUUACCCGCAGAAGAAGCACCGGCUAAAUCCGUGCCAGCAGCCGCGGUAAUUC
rnacentral:rRNA from 1 species